AUUGAACGCUGGCGGCAGGCUUAACACAUGCAAGUCGAGCGGAGAGAGGUAGCUUGCUACUGAUCUUAGCGGCGGACGGGUGAGUAAUGCUUAGGAAUCUGCCUAUUAGUGGGGGACAACAUUUCGAAAGGAAUGCUAAUACCGCAUACGUCCUACGGGAGAAAGCAGGGGAUCUUCGGACCUUGCGCUAAUAGAUGAGCCUAAGUCGGAUUAGCUAGUUGGUGGGGUAAAGGCCUACCAAGGCGACGAUCUGUAGCGGGUCUGAGAGGAUGAUCCGCCACACUGGGACUGAGACACGGCCCAGACUCCUACAGGAGGCAGCAGUGGGGAAUAUUGGGCAAUGGGCGGAAGCCUGAUCCAGCCAUGCCGCGUGUGUGAAGAAGGCCUUAUGGUUGUAAAGCACUUUAAGCGAGGAGGAGGCUACUUUAGUUAAUACCUAGAGAUAGUGGACGUUACUCGCAGAAUAAGCACCGGCUAACUCUGUGCCAGCCGCCGCAGUAAUAC
rnacentral:rRNA from 1 species